GAUGAACGCUAGCGGCAGGCCUAACACAUGCAAGUCGAACGGUGUAGCAAUACACAGUGGCGCGCGGGUGCGUAACACGUAUGCAACCUACCUUACAUUGGGGGAUAGCCUUUCGAAAGGGAGAUUAAUACCGCAUAAGACAGUAACUAGGCAUCUAGUAGCUGUUAAAGAUUUAUCGAUGUAAGCUGGGCAUGCGUCCAAUUAGUUAGUUGGCGAGGUAAUGGCUCACCAAGACGAUGAUUGGUAGGGGAACUGAGAGGUCAAUCCCCCACACUGGCACUGAGAUACGGGCCAGACUCCUACGGGAGGCAGCAGUAGGGAAUAUUGGGCAAUGGGCGCAAGCCUGACCCAGCCAUGCCGCGUGCAGGAAGAAGGCGUUAUGCGUUGUAAACUGCUUUUAUACAGGAAGAAACGACCCUUGCGAGGGGCAUUGACGGUACUGUAUGAAUAAGCACCGGCUAACUCCGUGCCAGCCGCCGCGUAACAC
rnacentral:rRNA from 1 species